CUCCAACCCUCGCAGCUCACUGCAAUACCGACAUAAAACAAAAAGCAAAAAAAAAACAAAAAAUCAACCAAGAGGACCUGAUAUUUUCCAGAAAAGAACGGAAGAUGCUGAUGCUGCAUGGUGAUCUUCAGUGCUCAUAACUUCGUAUGGAUUCAUUCUCGGGCCAAUACUGGAUUUUGUUCCUGUGCAAUAUAGCAUAUACAUAUACACAUUGCAUUAAAAUGACACAGACAGCCUAUCUUUCCACUGUCGUCAUUGCAUUAACAAGACUUUUAUUAGCCAUAUUUUGUAUAUUUUAUAAAAGUGCUCAUAUCUUUUAGAAAACAUAUUCUUUUUUCUAUUCUUUUUAUUGUUUGUCAUUUAAUUUAACUCUUCUUGAGAUUUACUAAAUUCGAUUUAGGGUGAAAAUGCUUUAACAUAAAAUGAUAAAAUUAAGCAAAAAUCUCAAGUGAUAGUGUAUUUUGAGAAAAUGUUUAUUUUGUUUAAACCUGUUUAUUUUUCCAGAUGGGUCUCUCAACUAUUGAUCUAUAUGUGCAUCAGUUUCUUGUACCAUGUAUCAACUUGUACCAUGAAAUGUUUACUCUUUUUUUUUUUUUUUUUUUUUUUGAGAGGUAAUGUUGAGAGGUAAUAUUAAUCCAUAAAAAAAUCCACCAAUUUA